CCCUUCGAUGUCCUGGGCCACACGCGCGCGACAAUGACACACGCAACGAGUUUACUCUCCUGGCCCUAGCGGGUUGGGUAAUCUGUAGUGUGUGUCGUAGUGGGGAUUGACCUUUGUAAUUCGGUCAUCAACGAGGAAUGCCUAGUAAGCGCGAGUCAACAACUCGCGUUGAUUACGUCCCUGCCCUUUGUACACACCGCCCGUCGCUCCUACCGAUCGGGUCUUUCGGUGAACUCUUUGGAGUCCGAUCCGUGUGUAGUUCUGCUGCACUCUAGGCUUGGGCGAAGUUGAGCAAAUCUAAAGAUCUAGAGGAAGGAGAAGUCGUAACA
rnacentral:rRNA from 1 species